rnacentral:rRNA from 1 species
UACGAGGGGUGCAAGCGUUGCUCGGAAUUAUUGGGCGUAAAGGGUAGGUAGGUGGUCUCGUUUGUCUGGGGUGAAAGCCUUGAGCUUAACUCAAGAAGUGCCCUAGAAACGGCGAGACUGGAGUCUUAGAGAGGGUCGUGGAAUUCCCGGUGUAGCGGUGAAAUGCGUAGAGAUCGGGAGGAACACCAGAGGCGAAGGCGGCGACCUGGACAAGUACUGACACUCAACUACGAAAGCGUGGGGAGCAAACAGG